GAUGAACGCUGGCGGCGUGCCUAAUACAUGCAAGUCGAGCGAACGGACGAGAAGCUUGCUUCUCUGAUGUUAGCGGCGGGCGGGUGAGUAACACGUGGAUAACCUACCUAUAAGACUGGGAUAACUUCGGGAAACCGGAGCUAAUACCGGAUAAUAUUUUGAACCUCAUGGUUCAAAAGUGAAAGACGGUCUUGCUUUCACUUAUAGAUGGAUCCGCGCUGCAUUAGCUAGUUGGUAAGGUAACGGCUUACCAAGGCAACGAUGCAUAGCCGACCUGAGAGGGUGAUCGGCCACACUGGAACUGAGACACGGUCCAGACUCCUACGGGAGGCAGCAGUAGGGAAUCUUCCGCAAUGGGCGAAAGCCUGACGGAGCAACGCCGCGUGAGUGAUGAAGGUCUUCGGAUCGUAAAACUCUGUUAUUAGGGAAGAACAUAUGUGUAAGUAACUGUGCACAUCUUGACGGUACCUAAUCAGAAAGCCACGGCUAACUACGUG
rnacentral:rRNA from 1 species